ACACAUUUUACCUUGAUGGAUCUUUGGCCUUCCCUCAUGGCUCAGACAGUAAAGAAUCUGUCUGUGUUGCAGGAAACCCAGAUUUGAUCCCUGAAUCGAGAGCAUCUCCUGGAGAAGGGAAUGGCUAACCAUUCCAGUAUUCUUGCUUGGAGAAUUCCAUGGACAAAGGAGCGGAGCCUGGAAGGCUACAGUCCAUGGGGUCAUAAAGAGUCAGACACAGCUUACCAACUGAACACACAAGCACAAUGGUUUGUUUCAAGGAGAUGACAUGUGGGAUUCUGAGAGAUGCUGCUGCCCAUGACGUGUUGGAAUUAUCAUGAUCUACUACCCAGUUUGGAUUUCAUCCAGUGGUCAAGAGCUUUGCAUGGUAGACAGCAAGGGUCGGAUUUCUAAAAAGAGUAAACCAGGUAAGAUUUGAGGGAGUCAUCUGAUCAUUUAUCAUUUGUUUAGGCAUUUCUAAGGGCUUUAGAGUGCUGCCAAGGUGUAUUGAAUAAUGCGUAACUUCUCUGUUUGCUUUCUAAGUCCACUCAACAGGUUGUUGAAGAAUGGUGCUCCCUUGAAUUCAGGAGAAUGGAUAUAGUAAUGAUUGAGUUCUUUUUUCUCAAGAGGAGGGGAGGAGUUAAGAUAACGUAAAGCAGACACAAGAUACUAUGGAUGAUGGUUUAAUGCAAUAGCCCCAAAUUGCAAGCUAAGGCAGUUUCCUCUUUAAGGAACUACUCUGAACUAUAAUGGAAUAAGCAGUUGUACUUUUUGAAGGUUGAGUAGGGAAAGUGUUGCAGUUUACAGCAUAUGAUCUUACAUAUAUGCUUCAAAGUUAUUCCAGUUUAGAAGGUAUACCAUUAUUUUGCCUUUUAUUUUUUGAAAGUAUUUAUCAUUCUAAAUUCUGUUCAUCUAAGUAUGAUUUGAUAUGGUAACAUAAUGACCUAGUCCAUUGUGGCUUUUGGAAUUUAAAAUGUAACACAUGCUCUUAUUCAACUUGUCUCUGGGACUUUUGUCUGUUUCAUUCUGGAACCUCUUUUCAACUAUCAGAUCUGAUCUUUCUCUUUAACAUUCUUCCUCCUCUAUAACAUAAUUAAAAUUUGUUAGUAACAGUUACUUGGGGCAACUACAUUAUUCCUAUCUUCUGAUUUUAAGACUAUCAGAGCUCUUAUAUCAAAAUUUUAUGAAUCCCAAAUCAAGAUUUCCUUUAAGCUCAAUUAUCAAAACAGAAAAUAUAUGUAAAAUUUAAUCAUUUAGAAAACUUGAACUCUUUCAGUUGGAGUUUUUGUUUGUUUUUUUUAAAAUACAGCUUUUUUAUUUUCUGAAAAUAAAGCAAAUGGAACUCAGUUAAUAAAUUAUAGG
rnacentral:lncRNA from 1 species